rnacentral:tRNA from 1 species
GCCCUAGUGGUCCGGGAGUUAGGACUUGGCACUUUCACUGCCAGGGCCAGGGUUCAAUCCCUGGUUUGGGAA